rnacentral:snoRNA from 1 species
AAGGUCGAAGAUGACGAGAUGGUGUCUUUCAUACUCACAGGCUUGUAUGGUGAUUACAAUCCUAUUGUUACAUCCGUUAUGGGCCAUCCCGAUCAGAUCUCACUCAGCAAACUAUAUGCUCAAGUUAUGGCAUAUGAAA